GAACCAGAUUAAGAUUCCAAAAGCAAGUUCAAGCAAGUAAUGGUCCCAAAGGCCUUUUGUGCUAACCACAGUUUGUCAACAAAGCGGCAUGACCUUUCCAAGGGUCAAGAACUUAUUUAUUACGGGAACAUUUGUUUGAGAUUUGAGUUGGCUUCGGAGCUUGAGCAACAGUUGGCAUCACCGCAGUCCCUCCCUGAGAAUUAGCUACUCACAUCUCAAAAGGUGUGCAGGUCACUACAAGAUGAAUUUCCAAUGGUGGUACAACAGUGGAAACAGCAAGCAAUUUAAAACUUCAGGGAGAGCACAUCUUGCACAAGCUCUCAUGGUUCCAGAACACAUACUACACAUAUGGAAGCUCGUCAAUGCCUCCACUUACUGAUGAGGCUGAAAGCAGCUGGCCGAUGGACAUUUUUGGAAAUGGUUGUUUUUUUUAUACUUUCUAUAAGAUAUUAAUUUAAUUAAUGCAAGACCAAAAUUGUAGAUUUAAUCAUGACAGGAAAAAUAAACCAUAAUAUUUAUUUUUAACAAUACGUAUCAUUAUCAAAAUCAUAUUUUUCACGGUAUGUGGUGGUUCAUUCCCACUUACUGGAAGAAGGCAAAAUAGCAGUUACAAAUAUCUUUUCAUUUUUAAUUAGCUAAGUAUUAGUGCAUUAUACAUGUGUUAUAAUUGUCUUACUUAUGUCACUUAUUAACUGGGUUAUUUCUAUCUGAAGUAUCUUUUGCUAUCUGAAGUAUAAAGGUGAUAGAUUUCUCAAAGGCACCACCUUUCUCGCCUUCUUCUUUUCAUUAAAUCUAUUGAAUCUCUGCUUCUCAGCUCCUCACUUAGUUUCAUAUGCUCUGUGUCUAUGUUUAAACUUUAUGGUAAACGCUCGUGAAGAAUCAAUGAAACAAAGUUUCUCGCUCAUUCCUGUACUCCUAAAAGAACCCAGGGAUCAAAUAUUGCAGAGCUCUGACAACGUCAAUGCUCACAUCCUUCUGCAGAUGCACAGUAGAGGUCAUAUCCUAACAUGUUGAAUCGCUACAUGGUACAGAAACUGCACCGCUGUGGACAGGACAACUUUAUAACCGGUAGUCAAAACUGCCCAAUGCAUCACCUACACAAACCUACCCGCCAUAAAGGACAUAUAUACAGAAAGGUGCUGGAAAAGGGCCCAGUAACAUUAUGAAAGAUCCCACCCACUCUGCUCAUGGACUGUCUGUCUCAGUCCCAUCAAGGAGGAGGCUACAUAGCAUCCACACCAGGACCACCACACUCAAAAACAAUGACUUUCCCCAAGUAGUAAGGCUCCACCCACUAACUCAACCCUCCACACCCCCCCAACCACCACUACUUUAUUAUUUUCUGUCAGUCACUUUAUGUACAGUCACUCCUGUACUUAACGUCACUUUAUGGACAUACAGUCAAUCUAUGUUUGUAUAUAAGCUAUCUUACAUAUUUAUGUUUAUUGUGUUCUUUAUCUUAUUGUUAUUUUUGUGUUGCAUCAGAUCCAGAGUAAUAAUUAUUCUAUUCUUCUUUGCAUUUGCUUACUGGAAAAAGACAUUAAACUAUUCUGAACUUUAAAUGAAAUGGAAUUAGAAACAAUUUGUAUGUUAACAGUCAAUUACCUAUUUUUUGAUGCGUACGAGUCCAAUUUAAUUCUCUCAUU